rnacentral:misc_RNA from 1 species
AGCAAACCUAUUUUCUCCCGAAGUCUUUCUUUUCCUCAUUCGUUUUCGCUCAAUCCUGAUUUUAAUUACAUUGCAACUUCUUAUCACCGAUUUCUCCCUGUGUUUGUUUGUGAUUUGACGGGGAUCACCUGUUUGUUUUUGUUGUAUUUUCAUGGAGAUCCCAGUGAUCAAUCGAAUUGGCGAUUUUGAAGCCGGCAUAACCUCUCUGCAAAACCCAUCUUUACUUUCCCAGAUUUUUGCUCCAUCUGGGGUCGAAAAGAUUCACCAUGCUUACAGUUUUUGGAAGUGGGGAGCUUUGAUUCUUGCCCUACUCGCCUCUUUUUCCACCAUAAUCAAUAGAAUUAAGAUGCUCAUCAUUCGAAUUCAAAACCGUUAUUUAAUCACUUCUGAAACUCCUCUCAUCACCGAUGAUGAUUAUGACUACGGCAGCGAAACAGACACGUCUUGUUCGUCGCUAUCAGAAGACGACGACGAAGCAGAAGAAGAUGAACAUGCAUCAUCGUCUUCGAAUUCACAGAGCUGGAGGUCCGUUGAUGAAGAUUUUAGUGUCAGAGGUUCCGGUUAUUAUGCCGAUGAUCAGUUGCAUAAUCGUAAUUUAAGGAGACGUAGAAACAGUAGCCUUGGAGACCUCUUUUCAUCAUGGUCUGAGUUCACAAAUGGGAAGAACGUAGUGAAGCUCUGGGAUAACUUAGGUUUAGGAUUAGGAUUAAACCUUGACAACGAGUCAAGAAAUUGCAUGUCAGUUUAUGAUAUGAAUAAGUCGCUCAAUGUAUUUUCCAUUUUUGGUGAGAAAAGCGACAUUCCGGCAGUUUCCAUGUCGUCUUCGUCGCCGUCAGUGAUCGUUUCUGCUGAUACAAACGUGUCUGGACACUUAUUGAGGGUGUGGGACACUCGGGUCGGGAGUCGGAUCCCAGAAAUAAUAGCGGAGUGGCGGCCGAUGUUGGGAAAAUUUGUCGGAAUAAAUGCCGGCGGCGGGCAGAAGGUUUACGUUAGAGAUGACAUCACGGGGAGAUUAACGGUGGGUGACAUGAGAAAAGUUAGCUCACCGCUAGCAAAUGCAACGGAAUCCGACUUGGAUACGUGGUGGGAUGCUGACGCCGUUAUGAUCGCGAAAGAAGAGUCUGUUGACGCGUUAAGUGGUGGUGACUCGGUGUUGCGACGCGCUUAAGGGUCUGAGUCUUAGCUGUUUUGGCCGUAGAAUGGCGAAACAGUCAAUUAUGAGAAAAAUAUGUAAAUAUUUAAUUAUUUGGCAAUAAAUAAUAAAAUCAAACUAAUUAA